GAUGAACGCUAGCUACAGGCUUAACACAUGCAAGUCGCGGGGCAGCAUGGGGGUUGCUUGCAAUCCCCGAUGGCGACCGGCGCACGGGUGAGUAACGCGUAUUCAACCUGCCCUUCACCACGGGAUAACCCGGCGAAAGUCGGACUAAUACCGUAUGUUGUCCAUUGACGGCAUCCGAUUUGGACGAAAGGCUUGGCGGUGAGGGAUGGGGAUGCGUCCGAUUAGCCAGACGGCGGGGUAACGGCCCACCGUGGCUACGAUCGGUAGGGGUUCUGAGAGGAAGGUCCCCCACACUGGAACUGAGACACGGUCCAGACUCCUACGGGAGGCAGCAGUGAGGAAUAUUGAUCAAUGGGCGUAAGCCUGAACCAGCCAAGUAGCGUGCAGGAUGACGGCCCUAUGGGUUGUAAACUGCUUUUAUGCGGGGAUAAAGUGGCCCACGUGUGGGCCUUUGCAGGUACCGCAUGAAUAAGGACCGGCUAAUUCCGUG
rnacentral:rRNA from 1 species